UGGCGGCGUCCUACUCUCACAGGGGGAAACCCCCGACUACCAUCGGCGCUGAAGAGCUUAACUUCCGUGUUCGGCAUGGGAACGGGUGUGACCUCUUCGCUAUCGCCACCA
rnacentral:rRNA from 1 species